rnacentral:rRNA from 1 species
AAAUUUUCAACGAUGGAUGUCUUGGCUCCCAUAACGAUGAAGAACGCAGCGAAAAUGCGAUAUGCAGUGUGAAUUGCAGAACCACGAAUCAUCGGAUCUUUGAACGCAACUGG